rnacentral:rRNA from 1 species
AGACUGGGAUAACUUCGGGAAACCGGAGCUAAUACCGGAUAAUAUUUUGAACCGCAUGGUUCAAAAGUGAAAGACGGUCUUGCUGUCACUUAUAGAUGGAUCCGCGCUGCAUUAGCUAGUUGGUAAGGUAACGGCUUACCAAGGCAACGAUGCAUAGCCGACCUGAGAGGGUGAUCGGCCACACUGGAACUGAGACACGGUCCAGACUCCUACGGGAGGCAGCAGUAGGGAAUCUUCCGCAAUGGGCGAAAGCCUGACGGAGCAACGCCGCGUGAGUGAUGAAGGUCUUCGGAUCGUAAAACUCUGUUAUUAGGGAAGAACAUAUGUGUAAGUAACUGUGCACAUCUUGACGGUACCUAAUCAGAAAGCCACGGCUAACUACGUGCCAGCAGCCGAGGUAAUACGUAGGUGGCAAGCGUUAUCCGGAAUUAUUGGGCGUAAAUGCGCGCGUAGGCGGUACUAUAAGUCUGAUGUGAAAGCCCACGGCUCAACCGGUGGAGGGUCAUUGGACACCUGGAAAACUGUGAGGUGCAGAAGAGUGAUAGCUGGAAUUCCAUGUGUAGCUGUUGAAAUGCGCAGAGAUAUGGAGGACACCAGUGGCGAAGGCGACUGUUCUGGUCUGUAACUGACCUGAUGUGCGAAAGCGUGGGAUCAAACAGGAUUAGAUACCCUGGUAGUCCACGCCGUACGAUGAGUGCUAAGUGUUAGGGGGUUUCCGCCCCUUAGUGCUGCAGCUGAACGCAUUAAGCACUGCCG